UACGUAGGGGGCAAGCGUUAUCCGGAUUUACUGGGUGUAAAGGGAGCGUAGACGGCUUUGCAAGCCAGAUGUGAAAGCCCGGGGCUCAACCCCGGGACUGCAUUUGGAACUGUAUGGCUGGAGUGUCGGAGAGGCAGGCGGAAUUCCUAGUGUAGCGGUGAAAUGCGUAGAUAUUAGGGGGAACACCAGUGGCGAAGGCGGCCUGCUGGACGAUGACUGACGUUGAGGCUCGAAAGCGUGGGGAGCAAACAGG
rnacentral:rRNA from 1 species